rnacentral:rRNA from 1 species
GUGGGGAAUAUUGGACAAUGGGCGAAAGCCUGAUCCAGCCAUGCCGCGUGUGUGAAGAAGGUCUUCGGAUUGUAAAGCACUUUAAGUUGGGAGGAGGGGCAGUAAGUUAAUACCUUGCUGUUUUGACGUUACCAACAGAAUAAGCACCGGCUAACUUCGUGCCAGCAGCCGCGGUAAUACGAAGGGUGCAAGCGUUAAUCGGAAUUACUGGGCGUAAAGCGCGCGUAGGUGGUUCAGCAAGUUGAAGGUGAAAUCCCCGGGCUCAACCUGGGAACUGCCUCCAAAACUACUGAGCUAGAGUACGGUAGAGGGUAGUGGAAUUUCCUGUGUAGCGGUGAAAUGCGUAGAUAUAGGAAGGAACACCAGUGGCGAAGGCGACUACCUGGAUUGAUACUGACACUGAGGUGCGAAAGCGUGGGGAGCAAACAGGAUUAGAUACCCGGGUAGUCC